rnacentral:lncRNA from 1 species
UUAAGGACGAGCUGGUGAUCCUUGCUGAGUUGGAUCGUAUACUUCUUCCUCAGCUGGUGAUCCUUUGCCGAUAUCUGAAACCCAUAAUCAAAAUCAGAGGAAGAGUUGUUUCAGAGAUUGCUCUCGAAGAAGAUGAAAAAAUGUCAAAACCAGUAGCUUACCGUAGCUUAAUGAAGAAAACAAAGAGACCCUUUUCUCGAUUUCUCAAGUUUGAUUCAUAUAACUUUUCUCGAUUUCUCAAAUUCGAUUGACAGAGAGCUUGAAGAGGAUACGAUCUAAGAAGAGCGACGGCUUGAGAAAGAUGUAAAGUGAAACCUAACGACGUCUUUUUCUCUUUAAAAAAAAAAAAACAAAACGGGUAACGGGUCCGAAAUUUUAUAUUCACUCCGCCCAUUUAUUAAACGGGCCUUAAUGGGUAACCCGGUAUGGACCCAUUAAAUUUUACAUACAAAUAAACGGGUAACGGGCCAGAAAUUUUAUACAGAUCCCGUUAGAGCCCACGGGUUUGAAGCCCGUAUUAACAUCCCUAGCUAGGAUGUUGAAUAUUAAAAUGG